rnacentral:piRNA from 1 species
UAAGGGUGCUUAGGGGCUUGUAGCUUC